rnacentral:rRNA from 1 species
UACGGAGGAUCCAAGCGUUAUCCGGAUUUAUUGGGUUUAAAGGGUGCGUAGGCGGCCUGUUAAGUCAGGGGUGAAAGACGGUAGCUCAACUAUCGCAGUGCCCUUGAUACUGAUGGGCUUGAAUGGACUAGAGGUAGGCGGAAUGAGACAAGUAGCGGUGAAAUGCAUAGAUAUGUCUCAGAACACCGAUUGCGAAGGCAGCUUACUAUGGUCUUAUUGACGCUGGGGCACGAAAGCGUGGGGAUCAAACAGG